GCUCGAUUAGCUCAGCUGGUUAGAGCGUCGUACUAAUACAGUUUUCAUAUACAUGAUACUGUAUGUAGUAAAUGCGAAGAUCAACAGUUCAAUCCUGUUAUUGAGCA